rnacentral:lncRNA from 1 species
AGAUUGAGAUCCAAAACCUCCCAAGACAUUUUGGACUGGUGGUUCCCAUCUGAAGUCCAUCCAGAUGAUCCUUGAUAAGACAGCAGACGGUACAGGCAUCGACUCCAACACCCUAGCCUUACAGGUGAAGACCCAUCCUGAGCUGAGGGACAAGCUUCAUGUCGUCACCUCUUGGGGGCCUUUGCCUGUCUACCCUGGGGUGGUCAACUCAGAAUUACCUGAGGAUCUCAAGACAUCUAUCACCAGGCAUCUUCUCAACAUGCAUCUCGAUCCCAAAUGGCAAGCUCAACUGAACCAAUACACGGUGUCCAAAUUUGUGCCGGUUACGCUGGAUCUGAACAAAGGAUUGUUAAAAUAAACAAACAAAUGUUCCAAUAAACCAAAAAGGGAAACCGACUAUUAGUGCAUUAUAAAAUAUAUUGCAUUAUUAUAAUAUGACAAUUGUAACAAAAUAACAAGACAGUGUUAUAUUUUUAAAAAAAUAAUGAUUAAUUCAUUGUUGAAAUCGGUACUCUUAAAUUGGACUUUGUCAUGAUGCAAUUUUGUGCUCUAAAUUAAAAAUGAAAUAUACAUAUUUUAUCAUGAAAAAAAUGUUGUUUAUAUAUUUUACUGAAACCAAGAGACUAGUUGUCAAUCUACAAGCUAUUGUCACAUCUUACUGUGUGUAAUGAGUUCGUUAGCAGGGCUCAAAUUUUGUGUGAACAUUUUGUGGACAACAGUACCUGAAAGUAUUAUUUACUGGACCAAUGUACAUUCGCAGUUAAAAUUGAAACACUGUUACUUAAAGCCAUGUGAAUCAUUUGCAAUGACCUGGAGAAGCAUUGAUUUAAUGACAAAACUCUGCUCAAAGUCAAGAUAGGAGUGGUACCAAAUACCCUUGUAAAUUGAAAUUGUUUUCGUGUGGACGAAAACUGAGGUGGUGUUAAAGAGGGUGUCCACGGCACAUUUUAACAUUAUGCAUUAGCAAUGGAAUCCAGUUACAAGACACCCCAAAAAAGUGAAUGUAUUUCCUCGGUUUUCUUAAAACGUAUACUAUCCAAUCAGCCUUCAACAGGUUAGUUGUCAUGCACCCUGCUUCAGACUUUUAGCCAUAUUGUUGCUUCAAACAAAAGUAAAGGCACAAGAAGCAAAUAAUCAUAUGUACCUUUUAAGAAAGUUGCAGUCAUUAGGAUUAUACAAGAAGUGUAUUUCAUUGCUUCUGAUGGUAAAUGGGAAACAUCAAAUGUGAACAUUUUUAAUAGUCAAAUGAGUCUUGCAUAUGUAGGAUUAGUCAUGAUCACGAUAAUCUGAGACCAGAUUUAGACAACACAUGCAAUCAUGAAAGGCAUGUAUUCAUCUGAGUGCAAUGUGUAAUUAUAAAACAUCAAGAUGAAUUUGUAUUCCCUUUGUUUUAAGUUACCAAAACUUCCAAAGAAUUUAUAUACGAUUUAGAAGUGUUUUUGUCAUUACGCAUAACCAUCACUAAAGAGUGAAAUACAUUUGAACAUCAAAACAAUGUGAGUUACAGUGAAGUGCAAAUUUAUUUAUGCAAAUGCGAUAAGGUUUUCUGUCAUGGAUAUUGGUAUGAACGUAGAUGAUGUGGAUAUGAUUCGCCUACUUUAAUGUACAUGUAGUUGUGUUUGUCAUUUAUAAUACAUGCACACCAUAUAGUUAUUAAACUUAUCAGAAUUUAUGUGCUGUAAAUUUUGGAUUUUUGUGACUUGGUUUAAAAAUUAACAGUCACUUCUUUCAUUUCCAAUGGCAAAUUAUUAAAGUGGAUGCGGUGUUUAAAACGAAUCAGACUUUCUAUUCUAUAAAUGUUCUAGUUUUCUGGCAACGUGAUGUUAGAAAUGAACUCUUUUGAACUUUUAAUAAAAUUGUAUUUUCAAUGGCAAAUUUUAUAUUAAAUGCAUGUACAUGUAGAUCUGA